GUGCAGCAGGCGAGAAUCGUGGACAAUGGGCGAAAGCCUGAUCCCGCGACGCCGCGUGGGGGAAGAAGGCCUUCGGGUCGUAAACCCCUGUCAGGGAGGACGAAGGGUAGCUUGGCGAAUAGCCUUGCUACCUUGACGGUACUCCCAGAGGGAAGCCCCGGCUAACUACGUGCCAGCAGCCGCGGUAAUACGUAGGGGGCGAGCGUUGCUCGGAUUUACUGGGCGUAAAGGGGGCGUAGGCGGCCUCGCAAGUCGGUGGUGAAAGCCCUCGGGACUCAACCGAGGAAUUACCACCGAAACUGCGAGGCUUGAGGGCAGGAGAGGGGGCGGAAUUCCCGGUGUAGCGGUGAAAUGCGUAGAUA
rnacentral:rRNA from 1 species